rnacentral:lncRNA from 1 species
AUGGGGGCGCCCCGUCAGCUCGGCCGUCGCGCUGCCACAGGGGCGUCUAGACCUGCCGGCGGGGGAACGUGCGGAACCCGCCCCGCGGCGGCGCUCGGGUCGCCGGUCUUCCCGCGGGUGCUCGAGGCCCCGACGCCCCGACCCUCCGGUGCCCCGCCCCGAGGAGCCUUUGAAGUCGGGAGAGCGAGCCCCGGGGACGGCGGCAGCGGACUCGGUCAGCCCCGGGCGGGCCCCGGAGCCCGCGCGCUCCCGUCCAGGCCGCGCGGAGUCGGCGCUCAGCGACGUGGGCCCAUCGGGGCGGGGGCGGGGGCGGGGGCGGGGGCGGGGGCAGCAGGAAAUCCUUGCCUCCGGCCCGGGCCCCCCCAGCCUUGGGUGCCGGCUCGUCCUCUCCCUGACUUUCUCUGCGGUCCCCUCCGGUCGGCGAGCCCAUUCCUGCCUUCCCGCCCACGACUGCCCUGGAGGCCGGAGACGGUGGGGCCCCUGGGGCGGCGCGUGCUGAGACCCGACUGCCCCCGCCGGGCAGGCCCUGGGGCUGGGACGCGGGCACACCCAGUGCAGCAGUGCCUAGCCGUAAAAGGAUCCCUUUCUUCCAGGGGUCUUGUCCAAAGAGCAAGAAUACCUUUCCCAGAAGCUCUCCGGAAGCAUGGCCCAAGGCCCAGUGACCGGAGGCCACCAAAACAGGAGAACCGCUGGGAAACCACUGCAGUCGCUGAGCCGGAGACUGCUGUAGGAAGGGCCCCAGUGUUUGUUGAGGAGUCCAACCCUUCAACCAAUGGCAUGACCGCGUCCAGCAGCAUCUGCCCCAGGCUGGGGUCACUUGCAUUAUUUUAGUUCCUCUGAG